rnacentral:rRNA from 1 species
AUGCACGCUAGCGGGAGGCCUAACACAUGCAAGCCGAGCGGUAUUUGUUCUUCGGAACAGAGAGAGCGGCGCACGGGUGCGGAACACGUGUGCAACCUGCCUUUAUCUGGGGGAUAGCCUUUCGAAAGGAAGAUUAAUACCCCAUAAUAUAUUGAGUGGCAUCACUUGAUAUUGAAAACUCCGGUGGAUAGAGAUGGGCACGCGCAAGAUUAGAUAGUUGGUGAGGUAACGGUUCACCAAGUCAAUGAUCUUUAGGGGGCCUGAGAGGGUGAUCCCCCACACUGGUACUGAGACACGGACCAGACUCCUACGGGAGGCAGCAGUGAGGAAUAUGGGACAAUGGGUUAGCGCCUGAUCCAGCCAUCCCGCGUGAAGGACGACGGCCCUAUGGGUUGUAAACUUCUUUUGUAUAGGGAUAAACCUACUCUCGGGAGAGUAGCUGAAGGUACUAUACGAAUAAGCACCGGCUAACUCCGUG